rnacentral:rRNA from 1 species
AUGGAUGGUGAUUGGUGUAGUUUGGAAGAGCUCCAGCCUCUUUCCCAGCUUAGGGAAAUUGGAUUAGCAAGUCUGGAGAAUGUAUCUGCUGCCUCAUUUGCCACAAAGGCGAGGCUGAGUGAAAAGGUCUAUCUUUCCUGCAUGGCCUUAUACUGUAAGAGCAGACUGGGCGGUGAUGGAUUAGCCAAGGAAGAAGUUUCUGAGCAGGAUCAAGGAACAAUUAUGGAGGUGUUUGAUGAGCUCUGUCCUCCGCCUUAUGUGCAAGAUAUUCGCAUCCAAGGGCGUCAACUCCCAAAAUGGAUGAUGUCGACAGCAACGACUCCCCUCAAUAGCUUGAGGAUACUAAUAAUUGAAGACCUGGCUUGUUGCACCCAACUCCCUGAUGGCUUGUGUCAGCUCCCAUAUCUGGAGUACCUGGAGGUCAACCGUGCUCCAGCAAUCAAGCGUGUCGGUCCUGAAUUCUUGCAGCCCUAUAGUCACCAUCACCAUGCUGCAUUUCAGGCGCUAGCUCCAUUUCCGAGACUGAACAAGAUGAUCUUUAGGAAAAUGGUGGAAUGGGAGGAGUGGGAUUGCGAGGAGGAAGUGCAAGCUAUGCCUGUCUUGGAGGAGCUUAUAAUCCAUGGUUGUAAACUGAGGCGUAUUCCUCUCGGCCUUGUGUCCCAUGCAAGGGCUUUGAAAAAGCUAACCAGAUGGUCCAUUCUGAAAGCUGAAUAA